UUGUUGGUAAGGUAAAAGCUUACCAAGGCUUCGAUCAGUAGCUGGUCUGAGAGGACGACCAGCCACACUGGGACUGAGACACGGCCCAGACUCCUACGGGAGGCAGCAGUGGGGAAUUUUGGACAAUGGGGGCAACCCUGAUCCAGCCAUGCCGCGUGAGUGAAGAAGGCCUUCGGGUUGUAAAGCUCUUUCAGCCGGAACGAAACGGUUACGGAUAAUACCCGUGACUACUGACGGUACCGGAAGAAGAAGCACCGGCUAACUACGUGCCAGCAGCCGCGGUAAUACGUAGGGUGCGAGCGUUAAUCGGAAUUACUGGGCGUAAAGCGUGCGCAGGUGGUUUUGUAAGUCAGAUGUGAAAGCCCCGGGCUCAACCUGGGAACUGCGUUUGAAACUACAAGACUAGAGUGUGGCAGAGGGGGGUGGAAUUCCGCGUGUAGCAGUGAAAUGCGUAGAGAUGUGGAGGAACACCGAUGGCGAAGGCAGCCCCCUGGGUUAACACUGACACUCAGGCACGAAAGCAUGGGGAGCAAACAGGAUUAGAUACCCUGGUAGUCCAUGCCCUAAACGAUGUCAACUAGUUGUCGGGCCUUUACGGGCUUGGUAACGUAGCUAACGCGUGAAGUUGACCGCCUGGGGAGUACGAUCGCAAGAUUAAAACUCAAAUGAAUUGACGGGGACCCGCACAAGCGGUGGAUUAUGUGGAUUAAUUCGAUGCAACGCGAAAAACCUUACCUACCCUUGACAUGUAUCGAAGCCCGCAGAAAAGCGGGGGUGCCCGAAAGGGAACGAUAACACAGGUGCUGCAUGGCUGUCGUCAGCUCGUGUCGUGAGAUGUUGGGUUAAGUCCCGCAACGAGCGCAACCCUUGUCAUUAAUUGCCAUCAUUUAGUUGGGCACUUUAAUGAGACUGCCGG
rnacentral:rRNA from 1 species